AUGAAGGCUCCCUCUCAGCUUUUGGUGUUGCUGCUGUUCUGGAUCCCAGGCAUAAUAUGUGACAUCCAGAUGACCCAGUCUCCAUCCUUGUCCGCAUCUCUAGGAGACAGAGUCAGCAUAACUUGCAGGGCAAGUACAAGCAUUGGUAAUGGUUUAGCCUGGUAUCAGCAGAAACAAGGCAGCUCUCCUAAACUACUCAUUUACCAAGCAGCCAAUUUGGAAUCUGGGGUUCCUUCAAGGUUCAGUGGCAGUGGAUAUGGAGCCGAUUUUACUCUCACCAUUAGCAGCCUGCAGCCUGAAGAUAUUGCUACUUAUUACUGUCAACAGUAUUUUGAUACUCCUCCCACAGUGAUCCAAGCCAUGACACAAAUGCCCAAAGGAUGUAGCAGAGUCACCAGCUGGCUCUCUUAUUGUUUCCAUCUGCUAAUAUAUUUUUGCAAAAACAAUCAGACUGAGAAAGUGACAGUGGCAUUGUGGUACAGCUGCCUAUAG